rnacentral:rRNA from 1 species
UACGGAGGGGCUAGCGUUGUUCGGAAUUACUGGGCGUAAAGCGCGCGUAGGCGGCUUUGUAAGUUAGAGGUGAAAGCCCGGAGCUCAACUCCGGAAUUGCCUUUAAGACUGCAUCGCUAGAAUCAUGGAGAGGUUAGUGGAAUUCCGAGUGUAGAGGUGAAAUUCGUAGAUAUCGUAAGGAAGACCAGUGGCGAAGGCGGGUCUCUGGACAGUUCCUGACGCUGAGGCACGAAGGCCAGGGGAGCAAACGGG